AUUGAACGCUGGCGGCAGGCCUAACGCAUGCAAGUCGAACGGUAACAGGAAGCAGCUUGCUGCUUUGCUGACGAGUGGCGGACGGGUGAGUAAUGUCUGGGAAACUGCCUGAUGGAGGGGGAUAACUACUGGAAACGGUAGCUAAUACCGCAUAACGUCGCAAGACCAAAGAGGGGGACCUUAGGGCCUCUUGCCAUCGGAUGUGCCCAGAUGGGAUUAGCUAGUAGGUGGGGUAACGGCUCACCUAGGCGACGAUCCCUAGCUGGUCUGAGAGGAUGACCAGCCACACUGGAACUGAGACACGGUCCAGACUCCUACGGGAGGCAGCAGUGGGGAAUAUUGCACAAUGGGCGCAAGCCUGAUGCAGCCAUGCCGCGUGUAUGAAGAAGGCCUUCGGGUUGUAAAGUACUUUCAGCGGGGAGGAAGGGAGUAAAGUUAAUACCUUUGCUCAUUGACGUUACCCGCAGAAGAAGCACCGGUUAACUCCGUG
rnacentral:rRNA from 1 species